rnacentral:rRNA from 1 species
UACGUAGGGGGCUAGCGUUGUCCGGAAUCAUUGGGCGUAAAGAGCGUGUAGGCGGCCCGGUAAGUCCGCUGUGAAAGUCGGGGGCUCAACCCUCGAAUGCCGGUGGAUACUGUCGGGCUAGAGUGCGGAAGAGGCGAGUGGAAUUCCUGGUGUAGCGGUGAAAUGCGCAGAUAUCAGGAGGAACACCAAUUGCGAAGGCAGCUCGCUGGGACGUAACUGACGCUGAGAGGCGAAAGCGUGGGGAGCAAACAGG